UGCCCAAGAGAUCGGGAUAACACCUGGAAACAGAUGCUAAUACCGGAUAACAACAGAUGAUGCCUAUCAACUGUUUAAAAGAUGGUUCUGCUAUCACUCUUGGAUGGACCUGCGGUGCAUUAGCUAGUUGGUAGGGUAACGGCCUACCAAGGCGAUGAUGCAUAGCCGAGUUGAGAGACCGAUCGGCCACAUUGGGACUGAGACACGGCCCAAACUCCUACGGGAGGCAGCAGUU
rnacentral:rRNA from 1 species